AGGAACAGGAGAAGCAGAAAGACGCGCGGGGGGAGGCCGUUCCCCGUUUAGCGCUGCACAAACCGCAUGGGGGAGAGAACCUGAGCAAACCUGGGAGCUGCAGCAGCUGGAGGUCGGGGUUUCCCAGGGAGCCUCGGAGAAGGAAGCAGAAAAGGCCAAAGGGGAAGCCGCACACCGCGCUGGGACGAGGGGCCGGGGAGCAAGCCGAGGGGUGGGCCGGUCGGAGGCCCUGCAGCGACAGGCCACGGCACUUCACCAGGCAACGGAGCCAGGGCAGCAGCUCCCACGCCUGUGGCAGCCAAGGAAGUUUCCAGGCGGUGGUUGUCUGUGGGAAUGCAAGUGACCCAGUUGGCAGAGGGGAGAAGGGCUUCCCCAGGGCUGGUAAGACACAGGAAGCAGCUGAGGGAGAGAUGCCAGGAAAAGGCACCUCUGACCAAAGAGAUCUCAGCCCUCUAGGGAGAGGAGCCAGCACUGGGUCCUUCCCUGCCCAUCCCCAAGAGGGGAGCUGGAAUAUUUGCAUGUGCAUCACCCUGCGGUUGAGAGACAACUCCGCAGAGGGUUGGCCAACAUGCAAAGUCCCCUGACCUUCUUCCCACACUACACCCUAGAGCACCGCAGCCCCACAGAGAGGACCGGCUGGAGGACCCACACUGAAGGGGAAAAACCCAGGAACGGAACACACACCGAGGUUCACGGAGGCGUUCAAAGGCAUGAUGGGUAUUGAGCAAACCACACCGUCUAAACAGAAGGCACGAUCUGACAAAGAUACUAGUGAAGACUGACCUGUGAUAAAGAGUUUAGUUAACACGGCUACACAGAUGUUCUCUAGCCACCCAGGGAAGACACUUACUAACUGGUGAGAUCACUGGAGAGGAGCCACAACAUGUUCACAGACUUUGCAAGGGCAUCUGUGGGUAACACCACAACGUUUAGCGACGCUUGGGAGCUGUAUGGUCAGACCCUAAAAGGGACCUUGGGCCCACUGCCGCUGCAUUAGUCAGUGAUUCACACUCCUGCAGAGGAUGGAGGUGUGACACUCUGUACCUUAAAACACACGCUGGGAACCCACUCCGUGUUCACCACUGUGAUGUGAGGAUGUCGGGGGUUGUACAAGGCCUGCCUUGUGAAGGAUGGUUUGAAAAGUCUUGAUCUGUGGCACAUUAACACCUGGUUGGGUGGUGUGAGCUGUCCCUGGGGGGCGGGAGUUAGGAAGUUUUUCUGUGUGUGUGUGUGUGUGUGUAUGACUGAAAUAUGUUGUGAGGUUGGGAACCCCCACAACCAGCCUUUCAGUACCAACAAAAGAGCCCGUCUCCGGCCAGACGGGUGUUGACGGCCCCUCAAAUAGGAAGUUGCUCUCGCAGGGACUCCCUGGAGAGGUCAUAGACCCAAUGGGGCUGCUCAGCCCCGAGUCCCAGCCAGGAUCUUUCUAGCAGCUGGAAGAAAGUGUAAAGGAGGGAUGGAGACAUCACCACUUGGCCUCUCUCCUUCCCCAUCGCAACCCCUGGAAGAUGGGCUGGAAGGCCCAGACUUUGAACUGGGGAGACUGGUCCCAGGUGGGAAGGGAAUCCAGCCGCUAUUGACAACUGAGAGCUGCCUGGACCAUCCUUUAGGGUGGGAGACGACUUGAGAGAAAUCUUCCUUAGUCUGUGGAAUUUAGACGUCGAGUUUGUUCUUGCGUAACCAAGUGUGAGCUCUGCGCCUGCGACUUCCCUCACUUAAAAACCUGCCUUCCUGGCGUGACUAAACCUGUUUGAUGUUUUACCUAGAACAGUGGUGUGGGCUUGAAAGGCUCAGGGGAAUCUCAGCUCCGGUGACAAAGGCUGGUGCGUGUCCCCUUUCCUCGGAGGAACUAAUUAACGAGCUUGCACUGGCCAAAGAGUCUGGAGCAGUGUCAGACGGUAUAUUUCUGGGGUGCAAGGCUGGGGGUUUGGCUGGUGCCUUUUUCUGUGAUCCAUGAGUGGAUCUGGGCACGUUCAUGCAAUCAGGCUGGGUGUGGGGCUCCACAGGCAGACAGCUGAGCGAUCGCAGCGCCCGGAGGGGUUUGCUGCAUGUCACUGGCAUGGCAUUGUGACAGCCCAGGCUGGAGAGUUAGCGGUACCCCAGUUCCAGGCUGCACCCUGGGGAUCCCAUCAUGGGGGGGGCGCUAUGGGUGCUGUUAUACGGGCAGGUUGGGGGCUAUGGGGUGCAGUGGAGCAGGCUGGGGGGACUAUAGGAGUCAGGCAUGAGGGUUAUGGGGUGCAGCAUUACAGUGUGGGGUAGCCUGUAUGGUCAUAUGGGUCAGGCUGGAGAUACAAGGAGGUUGAGAUAUAAUAUGGGGGUCACCCCCCCUCACCAAUGAAGAAGACGAUCUUGCUGUCGUUACUCCGCUCAUAGACGGCAUUGAUUGCCCCAAAAUCUGGGG